GACGGAGGAUGCAAGUGUUAUCCGGAAUCACUGGGCGUAAAGCGUCUGUAGGUGGUUCAAUAAGUCAACUGUUAAAUCUUGAGGCUCAACUUCAAAAAUCGCAGUCGAAACUAUUGGACUCGAGUAUAGUAGGGGUAAAGGGAAUUUCCGGUGGAGCGGUGAAAUGCGUAGAGAUCGGAAAGAACACCAACGGCGAAAGCACUCUGCUGGGCCGACACUGACACUGAGAGACGAAAGCUAGGGGAGCGAAUGGG
rnacentral:rRNA from 1 species